rnacentral:ncRNA from 1 species
UCCUGCAUUUGCGGGAUGAAGAGGGAAGCCGGUGAGAAGCCGGCACUGUGUCUCAGCAACCGUGACAUUCGUAUUCUGUGCAGUGAUGAAGGGACCAUAGUUUAUGGCCGGGAACAACCCACUGAAAGGAUCGUGAUCUUUUGGGAAGGGAACUGCACAGUGCGACCGAUGAUCAUCCGGACGGAGAUCACGCGCACGAAUCAAGUCGGGAGACCUGCCGAAAACUG